GACGAACGCUGGCGGCGUGCUGAACACAGGCAAGUCGAACGGAAAGGCCCUGCUUUUGUGGGGGGCUCGAGUGGCGAAGGGGUGAGUAACACGUGAGUAACCUGCCCGUGACUUUGGGAGAACGUCAGGAAACUGGGGCUAAGAGCGGAUAGGAGCUCCGGCUGCAUGGUGGGGGGUGGAAAGUUUCGGCGGGUGGGGAUGGACUCGCGGCUUAGCAGCUUGUUGGUGGGGUAGUGGCUUACCCAGGCUUUGACGGGUAGCCGGCCUGAGAGGGUGACCGGCCACAUUGGGCCUGAGAUACGGCCCAGACUCCUCCGGGAGGCAGCAGUGGGGAAUAUUGCACAAUGGGCGGAAGCCUGAUGCAGCAACGCCGCGUGCGGGAUGCCGGCCUUCGGGUUGUAAACCGCUUUCGCCUGUGACGCAGCGUGCGUGACGGUAAUGGGUAAAGAAGCACCGGCUAACUACGUG
rnacentral:rRNA from 1 species